GAAGAGUGAUGUGUACAGUUUUGGAGUAGUCCUAAUGGAGUUGGUCACAGGAAAAAGGCCAGUAGAACCAGAAUUUGGAGAGAACAAGGACAUAGUAUACUGGGUUUGCAGCAAAAUGACAAGCAAAGAGAAUGCACUUGAUUUAGUGGACUCAAACAUCUCAGAGAACCUGAAGGAGGAUGCCAUCAAAGUUCUGAAAAUCGCUAUGCACUGCACAGCAAAAAUCCCAGCUUUAAGACCAUCAAUGAGAAUGGUAGUUCAGAUGCUGGAAGAGGCUGAACCACAUAAACUUACAGAUGUCGUUGUGGUCAAGAAAGAAGGUGGAGCUAGUCCAGAUGAGAAAUUGAAGGCUACCAGCAUAUUUGAUCUCAGCACUUGAAAUUUUCUUUUGAAGCUUAUUCACUUGCAGUAAUGAGCAUGUAAUUUUUAGUUUAGUAGUUUACUGAUAUUAUAGAACUCAGCCUGUGAAAUUUGCAGCAGAACUUUAGAUUUCUAGGUAGGAGAAGAACCUUAAGUAUCUGAAAGAACAAGGAUAUGUAUUAUUUAGAUCUCAUCUUUUUGUAUUGAAGUUACACAAAAUGACAUUUUGCCUUGCAAAUGUAACGUGUGUUCUUCAGGAUGGCAAUGCCCUUAGCAAUUGCCAAUGUGAAUAUGUUGGUUUAAUUUCA
rnacentral:misc_RNA from 1 species